ACUCCUACGGGAGGCAGCAGUGGGAAUAUUGGACAAUGGGGGCAACCCGUGCAUCCAGCAAUGCCGCGUGUGUGAAGAAGGCCUGCGGGUUGUAAAGCACUUUCAGUAGGGAGGAAUAACUCGUUGUUAAUACCAGCGAGUAAUGACGUUACCUACAGAAGAAGCACCGGCUAACUCUGUGCCAGCAGCCGCGGUAAUACAGAGGGUGCAAGCGUUAAUCGGAAUUACUGGGCGUAAAGCGCACGUAGGUGGAUAAGUAGGUUGGAUGUGAAAGCCCUGGGCUUAACCUGGGAAUGCCAUUCAAACCACUUGUCUAGAGUAUAGUAGAGGAAAGUGGAAUUUCCGGUGUAGCGGUGAAAUGCGUAGAUAUCGGAAGGAACACCAGUGGCGAAGGCGACUUUCUGGACUAAUACUGACACUGAGGUGCGAAAGCGUGGGGAGCGAACAGGAUUAGAUACCCUGGUAGGUCAGU
rnacentral:rRNA from 1 species